GGGAAGUAUAGAUGCAAAUUGUGGAAAGACAGAAGACAAGUUAGACAUGAAUGCUGUGUAAGCUGCAGCAGCAAUGCAGCUUGUCUCUCAGAGAGCUUUGACUCGCUUUGCAGGACCCCAGCCCAUAUGAAGGUGCCAUUGAUUUCAGCGACUUGCAGACACAUCCGGCAGAAAAGUAUUUUUGUUUAACAGGCUUCCCAUUUUGAAUUUGGCCGCAUUACACGUUUAUCGUAGAUGGUUGAGCACGCACAACAGAUGUGGUGGUCAGAGUGUAUCCACAUUGUUGUGGAGAAAUAAAUGCCCUUGAACCCCCAGUGUCGGCAUGCUGUCAGCCAUAUUGGUUCUCGCUACAAGAACAAUUUGUCUGAUCAUGAAUGUGACGUGAUUAUUGCAAGUGUGAAUAUUUGAAUAUGCCUCCGGGCGAUAUUUCAGCGUGGCGUUCAUGUACCCAGCUCUCCUCGUGAAUCGCAUCACACGGGGCACAGCUCCUUCGAUGGUGGAAGCAUAUUGCUCUUCUCAAACUAUCUAUCGUUGGGUAGGUAUUUUGGAUGGCCAAUCGUGCGCCAAAGUCUGCUGAUGGUUAGUCACUGACUGUUAUCGGCAUAUGGCACGCGUUAAGGUGCUCCACGUUGCUUCCAUUUUCGAACAUAAGAAAUCCGAAUUGACAGUUACUCUAAAGCCAGAAUGACAUGCCGCUGGUGCAGGAGAAACCCACAAAGAUUCUCGCCCACAUGUGCCGGGCCUGUUUCAAUCGUUCACGUGUGUAGAACAAAACUAGACCAGUCUACAAGUGAGGCGGAGUUGAUAAAACGGUGUGGUAGUGUAAGGUGAUCUGCCCAAUGUUGCAGAAUUAUGGCAUUCACCGGCCACCUUGCGAAAAACGUCUGCGGUGGCAUUUUGUAUAAUUGCACUGGAUACGUUAAUAUGCGUAAAUACAGAAUUACUUUUCCAAUUUUUUCGCUAAGCGAAUUACCUGCGUGCUUUGGCAUGCAUGGACAUGUUACAUUAAAUGUGUACACCUGUGCGCUGUACGAGCCCCUCUUGUUGUGCCAAACGCAUGGAGGAAUGCAUGUGAACUAGGUCGCUACAUGAGCCAACCAAAGACAAACUUAUUGCUAGCUGUCCCAGUGGUCGAACACAGUGCGCUCUUGAUAUCAAGUCGUUACCGGACUUCGUGACUGCCAUUUUCAAGGGUCGGCAUCCCACAUAUCCACCCGGAUUUGGGGUUGGACGAGUGCGCGACAUAAGGAGCGACACCAUUUGUCACAGCUCAGGCUUGUGAUAUACGACGAACCGGAGGAGUUUCCUGCCAAACGUUGCUCUCUGAAAAAGCGGCACUAUGGCUUGCUCACGAAGAACGACACUUGAGAACGUUCGUGGCAUCAAUAGGAGUUCCCUACACAUAUGCUCUCCGUUGACUCUGCUAUCAUUCCUAUAUGUGUGUUACAAAAUAAUGAGAGUCAUCUUUAGUGACACACAGAUGGUGGCUGCUGCUUAUCGUCAAGGCAUUGUAUUACUCUUGUAUCGAUUUGUUCCGUCUUUUCAAUUCCAGAGGACUACGAGAGACGUAGUUGAUUCCAGGAAGACAUGAGCCCAUCACGCAUAAAACAGAUGGGGAAUGACACCAUGAAACGCUUGGGCCGGUGAAUUUUGUGCGUUUCCCUGCCUGGACCUCAUUUGUGAACGAAGGCAUUAGAUGCACGCCAGUAUUUUCUUCUGUUUCGUCGUUGUCCGAGAGGCACAUCGACGAUCUGCACCGUUGUUCUGG
rnacentral:lncRNA from 1 species